rnacentral:rRNA from 1 species
CAGUAGCCGCGGUAAUACAGAGGGUGCGAGCGUUAAUCGGAUUUACUGGGCGUAAAGCGUGCGUAGGCGGCUUUUUAAGUCGGAUGUGAAAUCCCUGAGCUUAACUUAGGAAUUGCAUUCGAUACUGGGAAGCUAGAGUAUGGGAGAGGAUGGUAGAAUUCCAGGUGUAGCGGUGAAAUGCGUAGAGAUCUGGAGGAAUACCGGUGGCGAAGGCGGCCCCCUUGACAAAGACUGACGCUCAGGUGCGAAAGCGUGGGGAGCAAACAGGAUUAGAUACCCCUGUAGUCCCUGUCUCUUAUAC